AUAAAUACAAUUUGGAGAAGUUGAGAUUUUGAGAAAAAACGAUUUGGAGAUUUUGAGAAGAAUUGAUUUUGGAAAGAGACUAUUUUGAGAAGAGAAGAUAUAGAGAUACAAUGAUUUUUUUUAUAAUUAUUUUAUAUUUUAUAUAUUUGAUUAUAAUAAGUUUUAUAUAUUUGUUUUAUAUUAAGUUUUAUAUCUUAUAAUAAGUUUUAUAUAU
rnacentral:lncRNA from 1 species